AUUGAACGCUGGCGGCAGGCCUAACACAUGCAAGUCGAGCGGCAGCGGAAAGUAGCUUGCUACUUUGCCGGCGAGCGGCGGACGGGUGAGUAAUGUCUGGGAAACUGCCUGAUGGAGGGGGAUAACUACUGGAAACGAUAGCUAAUACCGCAUGACCUCGAAAGAGCAAAGUGGGGGAUCUUCGGACCUCACGCCAUCGGAUGUGCCCAGAUGGGAUUAGCUAGUAGGUGAGGUAAUGGCUCACCUAGGCGACGAUCCCUAGCUGGUCUGAGAGGAUGACCAGCCACACUGGAACUGAGACACGGUCCAGACUCCUACGGGAGGCAGCAGUGGGGAAUAUUGCACAAUGGGCGCAAGCCUGAUGCAGCCAUGCCGCGUGUGUGAAGAAGGCCUUAGGGUUGUAAAGCACUUUCAGCGAGGAGGAAGGCACCAUACUUAAUACGUGUGGUGAUUGACGUUACUCGCAGAAGAAGCACCGGCUAACUCCGUGCCAGCAGCCGCGGUAAUACGGAGGGUGCAAGCGUUAAUCGGAAUUACUGGGCGUAAAGCGCACGCAGGCGGUUUGUUAAGUCAGAUGUGAAAUCCCCGCGCUUAACGUGGGAACUGCAUUUGAAACUGGCAAGCUAGAGUCUUGUAGAGGGGGGUAGAAUUCCAGGUGUAGCGGUGAAAUGCGUAGAGAUCUGGAGGAAUCCGGUGGCGAAGGCGGCCCCCUGGACAAAGACUGACGCUCAGGUGCGAAACGUGGGUGCAAGCAGG
rnacentral:rRNA from 1 species